UACGAAGGGGGCGAGCGUUGUUCGGAUUUACUGGGCGUAAAGGGCGCGCAGGCGGCCGCUCAAGUCAGGCGUGAAAGCCCCGGGCUUAACCUGGGAACUGCGUCUGGGACUGAGUGGCUAGAGUUCGGGAGAGGAGAGUGGAAUUCCCAGUGUAGAGGUGAAAUUCGUAGAUAUUCGCAAGAACACCAGUGGCGAAGGCGGCUCACUGGCCCGAUACUGACGCUGAGGCACGAAAGCGUGGGGAGCAAACAGG
rnacentral:rRNA from 1 species